AUCCAUAGCUGGUUUGAGAGGAUGAUCAGCCACACUGGGACUGAGACACGGCCCAGACUCCUACGGGAGGCAGCAGUGGGGAAUCUUAGACAAUGGGGGCAACCCUGAUCUAGCCAUGCCGCGUGAGUGAUGAAGGCCUUAGGGUUGUAAAGCUCUUUCAGCUGGGAAGAUAAUGACGGUACCAGCAGAAGAAGCCCCGGCUAACUCCGUGCCAGCAGCCGCGGUAAUACGGAGGGGGCUAGCGUUGUUCGGAAUUACUGGGCGUAAAGCGCACGUAGGCGGACCAGAAAGUUGGGGGUGAAAUCCCGGGGCUCAACCUCGGAACUGCCUUCAAAACUAUUGGUCUUGAGUUCGAGAGAGGUGAGUGGAAUUCCGAGUGUAGAGGUGAAAUUCGUAGAUAUUCGGAGGAACACCAGUGGCGAAGGCGGCUCACUGGCUCGAUACUGACGCUGAGGUGCGAAAGCGUGGGGAGCAAA
rnacentral:rRNA from 1 species